rnacentral:rRNA from 1 species
AUUGAACGCUGGCGGCAGGCCUAACACAUGCAAGUCGAGCGGAGCGGCGGACGGGUGAGGAAUGCCUAGGAAUCUGCCUGGUAGUGGGGGAGAACGUCAGGAAACGGGAGCUAAUACUGCAUACUAUCAGAUGAGCCUAGGUCGGAUUAGCUUGUUGGUGGGGUAAAGGCCUACCCAGGCGACGAUCCGGAACUGGGCUGAGAGGAUGAUCAGUCACACUGUAACUGAGACACGGUCCAGACUCCUACGGGAGGCAUCAGUGGGGAAUAUUGGACAAUGGGCGAAAGCCUGAUCCAGCCAGGCCGCGGGUGGGAAGAAGGUCUGCGGUUGGUAAAGCACUUUAAGUUGGUAGGCGUUACCAGCAGAAUAAGCACCGGCUAACUUCGUGCCAGCAGCCGCGGUAAUUC